AUUUACUGGGCGUAAAGCGCGUGCAGGCGGUUCGGUAAGUUGGAUGUGAAANCUCCNGGCUCAACUGGGAGAGGUCGUUCAAUACUGCCGNACUUGAGGANGGUAGAGGGAGGUGGAAUUCCCGGUGUAGUGGUGAAAUGCGUAGAUUCGGGAGGAACACCAGUGGCGAAAGCGGCCUNCUGGACUGUUUCUGACGCUCANACGCGAAAGCUAGGGUAGCAAACGGGAUUAGAGACCCCGGUAGUCCUAGCUGUAAACGAUGUNAACUUGGCGUCGGUGGUNUNAAANCCAUCGGUGCCGAAGCUAACGCGAUAAGUUCACCGCCUGGGGCUACGGCCGCAAGGUUAAAACUCAAAGGAAUUGACGGG
rnacentral:rRNA from 1 species